rnacentral:tRNA from 1 species
UGCCCACAGAUAAUCUAUCUCUUUUGCAGCUUCAAUGCAAUAUUCUUUAUAAAUUAUAUGAGC